GGUGGUUAGUAGUAAAGGGAGACAGAGAAGAGAAUGUAAGAGUUGGGAGAGAGGGAGAGAGAGGAGAAGAAGGUGAGAAUUGGGGGUUGAAAAAAAACCGACGGCGAGUUGAGAAAGAAUCGGUGGUAGGGUGUGUGUUUAGUAGGGGGAGAGAUGGGUUUUGAAAGAGAAAAAGAGGGAGGGAGAGGGAGAAGAAGAAGAAAGAAGAGAGGAGAAAAAGAGGGAGAGA
rnacentral:lncRNA from 1 species